CCUUUGUCCCUCUUUGGGGGGAAACUCCCACUUGGUUUAAAUCUGGGACUCUCCACCAUUGACCCUUAGAACUGAAGAAGCUUCUCGGAUGAGAGGUGAAACGUCUUCAAGCAACUCAAAGAAGUCCAGAGGCUUUUCUUUCCAAGCUCCUUAGACUAUGAAGACCUGGAUGACUGAGAACCUUCACAGACACAAUGUUAGGAUUGAAUUUAUGAAUACGACACCUUUAAAACAGUCUUGACUUGAGUAUGUAGCCCUGCAAACGAAACAAACAACUAUUAUAAAAAAUAAACUAUAAAAAAGCUUUCUCUGAAGUUCCUGUUUCUAAGGAGGUACGGAUAUAAUAUACUAUAUACAAUCACACCUGUUUUGCAUGAGAAACAUGCAGGAACACACAGCCCUGUCAAUCACACUGUUCACUCACAAAGUACUUAAGCAUCAAAUCGAAGUGCAUUUGUGUGUUACUCUGACCCGUGUCCUCUUACAUCAACAUAUAAUUCUGGUUUUAUCAGUAUGUGCAUGGUCAGUUGCAGACUAUAACAUUAUAUUUGACCUUUAAAUGGGCGUUCAGCAUACUUCAGGUUGAGGUGUGGCUUUACAUAUAAAAAGCGGCAGGUGACAGGUGAGUCAGUGGAUCAAGUUACCAGCACACAGUAAGUUCAACACUGAAUCUCUGCUGAUUAUCUUGUAUGCAUAUGUGCAGAAAGAGUUUGGAUAUGUUGUAGUUUCUUUUGUGAACAGGUUUUGGUGACCUCCCUCGGAUCUGAACUUACAAGGUGUGAAGUUUGACAUUUGGAGAUGUUUGGAAAGGGAAGAGGAGGGCACUGUCAUGAAGGAGGGCAUGGACAUGGUCAUGGUGGUGGACAUGAACAUGGACACGGCCAUGGUGGUGGACAUGGACAUGGUCAUGGUGGUGGACACGAACAUGGACAUGGCCAUGGUGGUGGACAUGGACAUGGUCAUGGUGGUGGACACGAACACGGACAUGGCCGUGGUGGUGGACAUGGUCAUGGUCAUGGUGGUGGACACGGACAUGGCCCUCAUGCUCAUGGAUGUGAGAAGACGCACAGGCGCCGGCACAAGCAAGGACACAGGCACCUCAAAUGCCACAAGAAGGGGAGGAAUUGUCACGGGGACUCCAGCAGCUCCUGCAGCAGUGACUCUGACUAGAUGAAGAUUUCGGGGCCGGGCUUUGUUGGAAACAUUAGUAUUACCUAUCCUUUCUCUUCUGUUUUUUUUUAAACGUUUACUUAAAAAUCAUUUUAACAGAUGUAAGAAAAAACUACAUUAAAUAUAAAGAAUAUGUAAAACAGAAGGCUCAUUCACAUAUUUAGAAAAACUGGAUGUAUGGGUUUUGGGAGUAUCAUUUUAAGCCUUGAGCUUUGCUAUGCUUACCUUGUUUAUUAAAUUAGAACAUGACAAGCUUGGCUCAACUCUACCUUAGAAGCUGAGGAAACUGUAUUCUCAUGGGGUAGCAACCUGUCAAUCACAAGGCAGGUCCUCCUGGAAAUUGUUUACUGAGUUCAUAAGUCGGAAGCAGGUAUAUCUCUGAAAUUAUGCCAAUAAAAUUCUUUUGCAGCCAGCUGCCCCCUGCUGGUCAUCAAAGAGAAUGCAUCUUUUAGACGCAGAAAAUGCAGAUUUUACAUCCAUCUUUUGUGCACAGACUUUGAGUAAUUUUUAAUCAGCUUCCACUGUAUGGUUACCUUACAAUGAAAUAAUAAAUAUAAACGGAUUAUUCUUCUCUAGUCUGUCUCAUUUUUUCUGCCAAAGUCCUUUCUAGCCAGAAAUAUUUUGGCCAUUAAAAGAAUGCAGCUUUGAGGCACUUGCACAUCAGCAGACCAGGAAACAAUAACAUAACACAAACAAAAUUAUUUAUUAGGAGCGGUAUCAGAGACAGGUCCUAUGAAAUCUAUCAUUGUGUUUGCUGGGAUUUAUUUAACAAAUGAUGAAAUGACAUCUUGUGGUGGGAGUUCAGGCUUGCCCCUGAUGAUUUGGAUCUGGAUUUUCAUAAUAGAGGUGUGGCUUUAUAAAACGGAACACUGUGUCUGUGGAUCUGCAGUGCAACACACAGUGACUCCACUCGAGGCAAUCUAGAAAUUACUAUGAAAUAUGUGUGUAUGCAUGUGUGUAUUUGCUACUACUUCUAGUUUUAUGGCUAUAAAUCUGUUUACACCAUCACCCAGUGUGGACUUUCCACCAUUUUAGACCAAAAAAAAGAAAAUAUACAGGCUGCUGAUGAGUAGUUUAUAGUAAUUAUACUGUGGUGUGGCUUUCUCGUGUAUUUAUUUUGUUUAUGCAUUAUAUGACUUUAUAUUUCUAACCUGUUUAAAAACAUUUAGCAAAACCUUUUUUUGACUGUAAAUUUUUGCCCUGUUUUCUUUGAGUCGUCAUAAAAACCGAGCUAUUCCCUCAUUUUAACAGAUGAGCUGAGCCAUCAUUGAUGGUGCUACAGAAUCCUGCAGCAAGAGUCCUGACAGGAACUAGAAAGAGACAGCAUAUACUAUCUUCACAGCAGAAAGAUAUUAAGUGUGAGACAUAGAGGAAGAUAGUGUAUAACAAAUGUAAAAAUAAAUAAAUAAAUCUGUUCACCUGUAUUAGUAGCCAGCAUCCACCCAAUGCUGAUUCCUCACACCCCUGUUGUAAUGAAGGGAGAACGGGUGAUUUACUGGUAAAUUUAAGUUCCUACCAUCACCUGUGAUUGUGCUUAACUGUAUGAAGCUUAUCAGAUAUUAUGAAACAAAAGUGCUUAAAAUACUGAUCUUCUUUUCCUUAAAGAAUUCUACUACAUCAUAUGUAAUUUUUUAUAUUGUGUGUAAUU
ensembl:lncRNA